ACGAAAUGUUGAAAAUAAAUAAAUAAUUAAAUAAAAUGUUGAAAUAUUUACAUAUUGUUGUAUGCGUUAACAGUGUUAUUAUGUAUUGUUGGGACACCUUAUACGUAGUUGAUAAUCUAUCUGGAAAGAUCGCAUUUAAAUGGAAACAAAGAUGUUUGAUUGAUUAAAACCUCACAAUAUUGAAUUCAAGUCGAUUAAGUGCCUUAAGAAGGAAGAACAAGUAUUAAGCCUAUUCAGUAACAGUAACAGUAACAGUAACAUCGUAACAUCGUAACAGUAACAGUAACAUUCUAACAGUAACGGUAACAUCGUAACAUCGUAACAUCGUAACAGUAACAGUAACAGUAACAUCGUAACAGUAACAGUAACAUUCUAACAGUAACGGUAACAUCGUAACAUCGUAACAUCGAAGCAGGAACAUCGUAACAGUAACAGUAACAGUAACAGUAACAUCGUAACAGUAACAGUAACAGUAACAGUAACAUCAUAACAGUAACAGUAACAUCAUAACAUUGUAACAUCGUAACAGUAACAGUAACAUUCUAACAGUAACGGUAACACCGUAACACCGUACCGUAACCGUACCGCAACCGUACCGUAACUGUACCGUAACCGUACCGUAACCAGUACCAGCACCAGUAGCAAUAGCAAUAGCAAUGGCAACCGUAACACCGUAACCGUUCCGUAACCAUUUUUUUUUUUUUUUUUUUUUACGUGAGGAAAUGCGUUUACGCACACCCCCUCAUAAGGAGGGGGUAGUGUGGGACUCGCCCCUUGAUUUGAUAUCAAGGGGAAUACCCACUAAAACCUCACGGUGGCCGGCCACGGCGCAUUGGGGAGGGGCACCGGGAUCUCUUACGAACGCUACCGGUGCCCCCCCGCGCCUCUCCCGCCCAACAAAGGGAUGAGUGCCAUCUCCGGUGUGGAGUGAAUACCUCCCCACCUGACCGCGGGUGCCACAGCCCCCGGUCUCGCCUGUCCCUUUUAGUCGCCUCUUACGACAAGCAGGGAUUACUGUGGGCGUAUUCUGUUCCCCGACCCACAGGGAAAACCGUAACCGUACCGUAAAGUGUGCUUAUGGAAAUGGAGAUUUCCAGAGAAAGCAGGUCAACUAUUCCUUAACUAUGAAUAGUCAUAGUUCUGUGGGAAGAAUGUCAAGUAAGUAAAGGGUUUCCGAUAAGUGGCUCUGGUCUCGGUUUAAUGAUAAAAUGUGCCUGGAAAUGUUGAAAUAUUUACAUAUUGUUGUAUGCGUUAACAGUGUUAUUAUGUAUUGUUGGGGCACCUUAUACGUAGUUGAUAAUCUAUCUGGAAAGAUCGCAUUUAAAUGGAAACAAAGAUGUUUGAUUGAUUAAAACCUCACAAUAUUGAAUUCAAGUCGAUUAAGUGCCUUAAGAAGGAAGAACAAGUAUUAAGCCUAUUCGAUCAACAUGAUUUAAGUUGUAUUCAUGUGUGCCAUGUUGCUACCUUUACCUUAAAAACAAAAAAACAAAAAAACUAUAUGUGCAACCACAAUCAAGACUGCUUGUUUACAUUCCAUGAGAGUAAUUCCAUUAUUUAGAUACUUGAUAUUUUUAAACUAAAACCAAGUAACUGUUUACUUAGUUAUUCAUUUAUAUACAAUAGUCCAACUACGACAUCAAUUGAAUCCUAUGCCACUUGAUUUAUUAGCAGGAGAGAAUAUGAAUUCCACUUAGGAUUUACUACCAGUAUAAGGAUUCUCCAUAUAUAUAUUACUUAUGCCUCCAUAAGGUAUAUAUUACAUAUAUCGUAAUAUAUAUCCUUUAAAAGUAGUAAUAAUCAUAUAUAAUCGUCACACUAACCAAAAACACAUGUUUACAAAGUUAUACGCUAUAAUUUUUACUUAUAUACUCUAUACUACUUAUAAAUAUACUAUACUAUAACAUUAAAUAGUAUACAAAGUUAUAUACUGUUUAAUGUAGUGCCUUUCUUAUACGCAGAGUGCAGAGGGUUAAUAGCAACAAAAUUUCCCUUUGAGAGAAAGCUUUCGUUUGGUUAUGUGCUUUCAAGCGAUUGAGCAGUGGUCGAUAAAUGUCUGCUGUGAAGGGAAGGACCACUCCUCUUUGUUGAAUCUCACCUGGAACGAACAAGGAUCGACUCAGGACCGUUGCAAGCGGUCAUUGAAAAUACAUGCAUAUUAAAUUAAUAUAAAAACACAAAAACGUACAAUGGCGGCUGGAUAGCCAACGGUACGAGCCAUGGCAGAAUGUCCUUUGACGUCUCCAUACAGGACCAAAUUGAUCCCCCUCUUCUCCCUCCUGUUAUCAGGCCAAAGGAUGCCAAUAUCGUGUCUCAGAAUCACAAGAU